UACGUAGGGGCAAGCGUUGUCCGGAAUUAUUGGGCGUAAAGAGCGUGUAGGCGGUCCGGUAAGUCGGCUGUGAAAGUCCAGGGCUCAACCCCUGGGAUGCCGGUCGAUACUGCCGGACUAGAGUUCGGAAGAGGCGAGUGGAAUUCCCGGUGUAGCGGUGAAAUGCGCAGAUAUCGGGAGGAACACCUAUGGCGAAGGCAGCUCGCUGGGACGUUACU
rnacentral:rRNA from 1 species